GUGCGAGGACGGAGACAGGGACAGUGGCAACAGACAGGCAGCCUUGUUUAUUGUGACUGCCAUGCAGAGGUUAUUCAGUCUCUGCAACCAUCCCUUCUCUGCUUGCCAUCUCCACUGCCUAUGAUAAAGGGGUAAUCUGCAGAAUGAGUAAGCUGAGUCUGGCUGCAACAGUGAGAGGAAGAUGGCACACAGAGCUUGAAGCUUUGGAGAGAGAGAUGACCCAAG